rnacentral:rRNA from 1 species
UCCACGCCCUAAACGAUGAAUGCUAGUCGUCGGGGGAGCUAGUCUCUUCGGUGAUGCACUUAACAGAUUAAGCAUUCCGCCUGGGGAGUACGGUCGCAAGAUUAAAACUCAAAGGAAUAGACGGGGACCCGCACAAGUGGUGGAGCAUGUGGUUUAAUUCGAAAAUACGCGAAGAACCUUACCUAGCCUUGACAUUGAAGAAAUAGACCAGAGAUGGACUAGUGCCCUUCGGG